UUCUAGUUAGCAAUUAUCCGCGAAACUGCGAAUGGCUCAUUAAAUCAGUUAUCGUUUAUUUGAUAGUACCUUACUACUUGGAUAACCGUGGUAAUUCUAGAGCUAAUACAUGCUAAAAAUCCCGACUUCGGAAGGGAUGUAUUUAUUAGAUUAAAAACCAAUGCCCUUCGGGGCUCUCUGGUGAUUCAUAAUAACUUCUCGAAUCGCACGGCCUUGCGCCGGCGAUGGUUCAUUCAAAUUUCUGCCCUAUCAACUUUCGACGGCUGGGUCUUGGCCAGCCAUGGUGACAACGGGUAACGGAGGGUUAGGGCUCGACCCCGGAGAAGGAGCCUGAGAAACGGCUACUACAUCCAAGGAAGGCAGCAGGCGCGCAAAUUACCCAAUCCCGACUCGGGGAGGUAGUGACAAUAAAUACUGAUACAGGGCUCUUUUGGGUCUUGUAAUUGGAAUGAGUACAAUUUAAAUCCCUUAACGAGGAACAAUUGGAGGGCAAGUCUGGUGCCAGCAGCCGCGGUAAUUCCAGCUCCAAUAGCGUAUAUUAAAGUUGUUGCAGUUAAAAAGCUCGUAGUUGAACCUUGGGCCUGGCUGGCCGGUCCGCCUCACCGCGUGCACUGGUCCGGCCGGGCCUUUCCCUCUGGGGAACCGCAUGCCCUUCACUGGGUGUGUCGGGGAACCAGGACUUUUACUUUGAACAAAUUAGAUCGCUUAAAGAAGGCCUAUGCUCGAAUACAUUAGCAUGGAAUAAUAGAAUAGGACGUGUGGUUCUAUUUUGUUGGUUUCUAGGACCGCCGUAAUGAUUAAUAGGGACAGUCGGGGGCAUCAGUAUUCAAUUGUCAGAGGUGAAAUUCUUGGAUUUAUUGAAGACUAACUACUGCGAAAGCAUUUGCCAAGGAUGUUUUCAUUAAUCAGGAACGAAAGUUAGGGGAUCGAAGACGAUCAGAUACCGUCGUAGUCUUACCAUAAACUAUGCCGACUAGGGAUCGGACGAUGUUAUAUUUUGACUCGUUCGGACCUUACCCGAAAGUAAAGUUUCUGGGUUCUGGGGGGAGAAUGGUCGCAAGGCU
rnacentral:rRNA from 1 species